rnacentral:lncRNA from 1 species
AUGGAUGGAAGUGCAUUCGUUAAUCUUUGGCCACUUCACCAGCUUCCGCCCGGCGAUCUCCGCCGACAGCCGAAUAUGGGAGCAGAGAUACGUCCUCACCAACUCCAAUUAGGAAACAACGAUGGAGUUCCAAAGUAUCGUCGUCGAAGUGGCCGUGCGCGCUGGCCGAACACCGCGGCGACGAUUGGACUCGCAGUGACACACGCGAGCGUCAUGACACCCAUGACGGCGUCAGCGGGCGGUGACGAGACGUACGGUGGAUCUGACGGGGAGCUGAGACCGGCCCAGGUUCCGAGCCUGGAUGUGACGAGCGCAGUCACAAGUCCGGCAGCAGCAGCUAAGUUCGCCGGCCGGUCCCACGUUGCCCUCCCAGUUCCAGCUUUGGCACGACUGUUUUGUUGUUUUCAGAUGUCACCACGUGAGGGUCAUUUGAAAACACUUGCACACUAA